rnacentral:rRNA from 1 species
GGCCACCGCUAUUGGGAUUCGACUAAGCCAUGCGAGUUGAGAGGGUUCGGCCCUCAGCAGACUGCUCAGUAACACGUGGAUAACCUACCCUUAGGUGGAGGAUACGCUCGGGAAACUGAGAAUAAUACUCCAUAGAUCUAGGAUGUUGGAAUGCAUUUAGAUUAAAAGCUCCGGCGCCUAAGGAUGGGUCUGCGGACUAUCAGGUUGUAGUCAGGGUAAAGACCUGACUAGCCCACGACGGAUAUGGGUUGUGAGAGCAAUAGCCCAGAGACGAUAUCUGAGACACGAUAUCGGGCCCUGCGGGGCGCAGCAGGCGCGAAAUCUUCACAAUGUGCGAAAGCACGAUGAGGGAAUCCCAAGUGCUGGCACGUAAGUGUCAGCUGUUUCUUUGUCUAAAAAACAGAGAGAGUAAGGGCUGGGUAAGACGGGUGCCAGCCGCCGCGGUAAUACCUGCAGCCCAAGUGGUGGUCGCUAUUAUUGGGCCUAAAACGUCCGUAGCCGGUUAAGUAAAUGCCUGGGUAAAUUGUGUAGCUUAACUAUACGAAUACCGGGUAGACUGCUUAACUUGAGACCGGGAGAGGUUAGAGGUACUCCGGGGGUAGAGGUGAAAUUCUGUAAUCCUCGGGGGACCACCAGUGGCGAAGGCGUCUAACCAGAACGGGUUUGACGGUGAGGGA